GGAGAGGUGGCAGAGUGGUCGAUUGUACUUGACUCGAAAUCAAGCGAUGGGGCAACCCAUCCGUGGGUUCGAAUCCCACCCUCUCCGCCA
rnacentral:tRNA from 2 species